AGUGUGGCGGGUCUCUCAGGAACGCAUAUUUUCUUUUCGGAUUCUCCGAGAAGGGGUGGAGAAACAGGAUGGGAACCGGAUUGGUUGCAGUGUGGCACAGACCUGGAACCUUCCUGAAAGAGGUUGGGGCAGGCAGUGACUGUUCAGACGUCCAAUCUCUUUGGGACGCCUCUUCAGCGCUGUCUUCCCUGCCUCUGCCUUUAGGACGAGUCUCAAACACCAACAAACGCAAGGCACGUCCCCCCUCUCAGCGAAGAGGAAGCCACCGCCACCACACCCCUCAAGCAUGCCUGGGCACUCCUGGGGACAAUCGGACGUGGCAGGAGUUGGCAUGCCCAAGAUGAAGCUGGGAAGGAUGACCCAGAGUGGAAGGCGUGGGCUGGGGCUCCAGGUCUCAGCUCUCGCCAGCGUCGGACCACACAGCUUUGCCAGCUUUGCACCUUGCCUUUCCUUCUUGUGAGGCAUCUGGGACCGUCCUAUCAAGGCGCUUCAAAGGUGGAAGGACAGAGUGCUGGGGACAAGAACGUACCAGGCGCCCAGAAGAUUCCACUAGCGCGGCCAAACACUAAGACCAGGUUUCCUCCCUGCGUGGUGGUCGUUGGUUGUGCACGGGCUACGCACGAAGACUGAAUUCCUGAGAAAUGGAAACUGCAGGAGAAAAAUCAAAUAAACUUAGAGGCCUGUGAAGCUCUCCCUCUUGUCGCUCUGGGACCGCUCUAAGCUGAGCUACAUCUCAGAUACCUUCUCCCCCUGGAGGAUGGGCCUUUCUCAGGCACGAAAUGGUGUUUCGCUCUUAUUGCCCAGGCUGGAGUGCAAUGACGUGAUCUUGACUCACCACAGCCUCUGCAUCCAGGAUUCAAGCUAUUCCCCUGCCUCAGCCUCCCAAAAUGCUGGGAUUAUAGGCGUGAGCCACCACGCCUGGCCAGCAUUCCCAAUUUUUAAAAAUGAAUGAUUGGCACAAAUCUUAGAAAGCCAUUUUCUGUAGAUUUGAAAGCAAUGCUAUUUACAUUGUUACUACUUUCUUGUUAAAUCUUGCAUGUCUGCAGUAUGUGUUGUAAUAGAAACCUAAGAUUAUGAUCUGCUGUAUUCAUAUUUGAAGAAGAAAAUUUCAGACUGUAUAAUCAACUAGUUGAUGAUUCAUAUUUGCUUGUACAAAGUUAAAAGUGUAACUUGCCAGAAAAGAAGGAAGCCUGAAAAGUAUUCUAAAUACAUUAAUAAGAAGGGUUCUACAUGAAUUAAUUUUUGUUUUGCCAUCUACAGAGUUCCUGCCACAUUCUAGGCACUUCAUAUUUGCUGCAACAUUUAUUCAGACAUUGACAGAACAAGAGAAACGAAGUUAAAUUUUAAGUACCAUGGAUUGAAAUUAAAUUUAGGGAAGAUAUUUUAUAGUAUGAAUUGUUCAUCUGUAUUUAACAAGGUAUUCAUUUAUUUUGGGCGAUUUAAGGAAGGUCCUUUCUGGAAACAGGAUUACAAACAUAUGGACCUAUUUAGUCAAUUUCAACCUUGUGAUUUUGAAUCUGACAGGUUCUCAGCUGCUUUUAUUAAAUAACGGAUUUUCUUAAUAAUUACUGUACUCAAACUUAGCAAAAAGCUCUAUUUAUAGCCCAGUUUUUUAGUCACACACUAUUGUGUCUUGUCAAAUUGAAACCAUAUACUACAUUCUUUACUUAUUAAGAUGGUCUUUCUUUGUAAUAAUUUUGGAGUAAAUAGUUUACUUAUCUAAACCUCUGAUUUCUGAUUUAACAGAUUUUUGAAGCAUUUAUUUUCCUUACCAUACAUAAAAAUUGUCAGUUGAGGACAAGGAAGGAUUAACCUGGACUACGGUGAAUAAUUGUUCAGGUUGCUUACUGUGUAACUCCAGAGGAGCAUUCACAUGGUACAAUUUGCAGAUUUAAGUAUUUAUUACAACCAUUUUCUGGCAGAUAACAGUGGAACACCCUGUUCUGUUAAAAUUAGUUUAUUAUGACAAAUUGCCUACAGAUGGACAUAAACUGUCUUGAGGAAGGGCACCUGCUUUGGACUGAAUCGUGUCCCCCCAAAAUCAAAUGUUGAAGCCUAAUCUCUAAUAUGAUGGUAUUUGGAGAUGGGGCCUUUGGGAGAUAACUAGGUUUAGAUGAGGUCAAGAGUGUGGGGCCUUCCUGAUUAGUACCCUGAAAAGAGAAAACACCAGAGAGCUUGCCCUCUCUCCCUCUUACCCCACAGGCACACAAAGAGGUCAUGUGAGUACACAGUGAGAUAACAACCACCUAUGAGAAAACAGAAGAGGCUUCAGAGUGAAAUCUACUUUGCUGGUACUGUAAUCUUGGACAUUAUUCUCUAGAACUGUGAGAUAAUAAAUUUAUCUUAUUUAAGCCACCCAGUCUAUGGUAUUUUGUUAUGGCACCCUGAACUAAGACAAAUUUUGGUACCAAGAAAUGGGGGUGCUACUGUAACUAAUACCUAAACAUGGGGAAAUGACUUUGGAAUUGGAUAGUGAGUAGAGGCUCAAGAAUUUUCAGGU
rnacentral:lncRNA from 1 species